GUUAGCUGUCUCAAGUGAGAAGGGAACUGUCCAUGUAUUCAGCCUCAAGGUUGAUUCAGGUUUGAUGAUAUUGGCGAAUGAUAGAUCACGUGUUGCAUCUGAACCAAACCAUUCUAAUGGUUUAGGCAUUUCAUCUCUUUCCAUUUUGAAAGGUGUAUUGCCAAAGUAUUUCAGGUCAGAGUGGUCAGUGGCUCAGUUUCGAUUACCUGAAGGAUUGCAGUAUUUUGUUGCAUUUGGCCACCAGAAGAACACAAUUGUAAUCAUUGGUAUGGACGGAAGCUUCUAUCGAUGUCAAUUUGAUCCAGGAAGUGGUGGAGAGAUGACUCAGCUUGAAUAUCACAAUGUCCUGAAUGUAGACGACUUCUUAAAGCCAGGGGAAACUUUUACCUAGUCAAUAUAAAGAUUUUUUUUUUUAUAAUUUUUCUGGUAACUAUUGUUAAUAUAGCUGCGUGUACAUCUUUUAGGAUAUAAGAAUUUACUCGUGAAUGUUGAGAACGAGUAGUUAUAUCGGCUAGAGCUUCCAGGCUGUUGAGCUGUUUGUAAAUAAUGUUACCUAUGCCAAUGCCACAUAUCUCAUAAUAUAAAUCUGACUGGCAAAUUAUGAUUUUGAAAAAAAAAA
rnacentral:misc_RNA from 1 species